UCUAGUAUAAGCACUUUAUACUGUGAAACUGCGAAUGGCUCAUUAAAUCAGUUAUCGUUUAUUUGAUAGUACCUUACUACAUGGAUACCUGUGGUAAUUCUAGAGCUAAUACAUGCUAAAAACCCCGACUCACGAAGGGGUGUAUUUAUUAGAUAAAAAACCAAUGCCCUCCGGGGCUCCUUGGUGAAUCAUAAUAACUUAACGAAUCGCAUGGCCUUGCGCCGGCGAUGGUUCAUUCAAAUUUCUGCCCUAUCAACUUUCGAUGGUAGGAUAGUGGCCUACCAUGGUGGCAACGGGUAACGGGGAAUUAGGGUUCGAUUCCGGAGAGGGAGCCUGAGAAACGGCUACCACAUCCAAGGAAGGCAGCAGGCGCGCAAAUUACCCAAUCCCGACACGGGGAGGUAGUGACAAUAAAUACUGAUACGGGGCUCUUUUGGGUCUCGUAAUUGGAAUGAGUACAAUCUAAAUCCCUUAACGAGGAACAAUUGGAGGGCAAGUCUGGCCUAG
rnacentral:rRNA from 1 species